CCCAAUUGGUCCCUUAACGUCACACAGCUUUCUAAUUGUUGUUCUUCCCUUUAGAUUUAUAUUUCAACCAGGAGAGCAAUAAUGAGCUUUGCAUGGACAAUGGCUAAAUCUGAAUGAGGCUUCUGGUGCCCUAAUUCAGGGCCAAGGAAAGCUAACAGUCAUGAUUCAAUAAAGGUGCCAGUCCACGGCAGGCAUCAGACAGAAAGGAGACACCUUAUCUGUUGAAUCUACAGAUACUACUUGAAAAAUCACACAUAAUUAAUCCCUUCUCUUAGCGGAGGCUAUUUGAAGCUUUAUCACCAGCUUGUAUGUACGAUUUCAUCUCUAGCUUUCACUGAUGGUUCCGAGAGGGGAGCAUUUUCAAACCAGAGGCAGUUCAUAAUUUAGACAUGCCUACCACCCCUAUUCUAGUUAGCUAAUAAGAGAAGCUUUGCACUAAAUAACUGAGGGAACACAGAAUAGAGAUACAUAGCAAAUAUUUGCCAAGUGGCCCUGAAGUGGCUUCCCAGAUGGCACGUUCUGGGGAAUAAAGAAGAUACGACAGCCCCAUGGAUAUCAGUAUGACAUCUGAUGGUCCUCCCGCGACCCUCUGUGUACAGGGGUGGGCAGUCAAUGGGAAUUCGUUUUACCAUGGCAGUGCUCUUAUAUAGGCUAGAAAAAAUAUAUACGCAGAAAGAGGGAGAGAGACAUAUCUCACGCAACCCAACCUGUGGCUCCCGUAAGGCUCUCCACUAAAGGAAGUUGUGAUGAUUAAAAUUCAUCACACGGUGUGAAUUCUCCUGGGUCAGGAAAGACUGGCGUUGGCAGAAUCUGAACUUAAUAGUAUUUGCAAAGUUACUCUUAAGUCAGAACAUGUUUGCCCAACCAUGAUCGUCUCCUCCCUCUUUAUCUAUAAACACAUAUACACUGUAGAUAUUUAUAGACUAAUAGGUAUAUGAAAUCAUUUAUGCAAGUUGUAAUUGACUGUGUAAUUAUUGAAUAAACAGCGGAUGAAAGGAAAUGUGAGGCAUGCAUUUUCCCUUGGGCAACAUCAGAUGAGAACAUCAUUUCAUUUGCAUCGCAGGGGAGACGGAGAGACAAACAGAAAGCAGAGAGACAAACAGAAAAUCAGAGGCAGCAUCCUGCUUGGACACCUCCAAGAAUUCAACUGCCUUCAACAAAUUCUAUCAAAUCCCUACUGUGUGCCAGGCGCUAGGAUACGAGGAGGACUUGUCAUCAAUGCUGGAUUGCCCAGUGUGCAGACGAGACCCUCACUUACAAGUCCAGAAAGCAUGGCUGAGAGAGAGCAGAAUGUUCUGGGCACAAAGAACAGCAGGGAGGUUGUCCUGAGGCAACACCCAGUUUGGUGCGUCUGAAGGACUGAAAAGUGCCCACUGCUUCAGUGAAGCUGAAAGGGGGACUUAAGAAGAAGACAAACCAAUCUUUACAAACCACGGCAGGACCGGGAUGGAAAAAAACAAAAACAACAACAAAAAACACACACACACACACACACAAAACGGGGAAGUCUGGUUAAGAACAACAGAGAGGACCUGUUUUAGACAGGAGACCAGAGAGGGCUUCUCUAGUUAGGUGAAGUUGUCUGAGAGAUGAAAAUGAUCACACACAAAAAAAUGGCUGGGAGAGAGAAGAAUGUUCUGGGGACAAACAACAGCAGGGAGGUUGUCCUGAGGCAGCACCCAGUUUGGUGCGUCUGAGGGACUGAAAAGUGCCCACUGCUUCAGUGAAGCUGAAAGGGCAUCAAGCUAGAAUAAUAAGCGGGAAAGACAUAACAGCGCCCCCCGUCAUGGAGCUUCCAGUCUGGAAGAAGAAGAAAGUUUUUGUCCUGUGUCUGAUGCCUACUCACCGCAGGACCCUGAAGUCAAGUUUCCCUGUCCCAGAUAAUAUGCAUUAUCUCAUCGAAUCCUCACGAUAGCCCCCUUCGUCUCACCCACACCCACCCUGCAGCCCUCCCCAGGCUCCCUUGCAACUUGGCAACGUGACACAAUUCAGACCAGCGACGCACAGGCAGGAGAUCGCUGGGCAGAUCCGCUGUCUUCGGAAGGACGCGCUGUCUGGAGAGGGCUGUGAGUUAUCCAUCCUGCGAAUGUCAGGAAGGGCCGAGGGAGCAGCUGAGCUCUGACAUUCUUACGCCAUCGAAACAGAAUAGUAACUGCCUGCCUUUUAAGGGAGAGAAAAAAAAUAACCUGUUCGUUGAGGUCUCUGUUGGGUUAUCGUCGGCAGUUGCUACUUACGGCUAAGAGCAUUCCCGACCGACUUAAUGAAGUCGGAGGAGAGAGCCAAGGUCACAAAGCCAAUGAAUGGAGCAAAUCGGAAAUCAAAACCGCAUCUUCUGGACCCCCAGAUCUGCAUCUUAAUCUUGAUGCUAUGUUGUCCUCAUGUUUCCACAAGUAAGAAGAAGAAAACAAAGCAAAACAAAAAACAGGAUAGAAAACGUAUUUGUCUGGUUUCCCUGACUGUAUCCAAACAGCAUAACAAGCUAUUUGAUACGGCCUCAAACCACGGGACAUUACAUCUACAUUCCAAUUUUAACAAAGACUUAAUUGCAAAUUUGGGGGAGGUGGUGAAAAGGACUAAGGAAUUCCUUAAUGUUGAUGAUGUUGUUGGAAACGUGCUAACCUUGAAUACAUCUUUGAGAGGAGUUGAAA